rnacentral:rRNA from 1 species
UACGUAGGGGGCAAGCGUUGUCCGGAUUCAUUGGGCGUAAAGAGCGUGUAGGCGGCCAGGUAGGUCGGUUGUGAAAACUGGAGGCUCAACCUUCAGACGUCGAUCGAAACCAUCUGGCUAGAGUCCGGGAGAGGAGAGUGGAAUUCCGUGGUGUAGCGGUGAAAUGCGCAGAUAUCAGGAAGAACACCCGUGGCGAAAGCGGCUCUCUGGAACGGUACUGACGCUGAGACGCGAAAGCGUGGGGAGCGAACAGG